rnacentral:rRNA from 1 species
AGGAUGAACGCUGGCGGCGUGCUUAACACAUGCACGUCGAACGAAGCACUUAAGACGGAUUACUUCGGUUUGAAGUCUUAUUUGACUGAGUGGCGGACGGGUGAGUAACGCGUGGGUAACCUGCCUCAUACAGGGGGAUAACAGUUAGAAAUGACUGCUAAUACCGCAUAAGCGCACGGUCUCGCAUGGGACGGUGUGAAAAACUCCGGUGGUAUGAGAUGGACCCGCGUCUGAUUAGCUGGUUGGUGAGGUAAGGGCUCACCAAGGCGACGAUCAGUAGCCGGCCUGAGAGGGUGAACGGCCACAUUGGGACUGAGACACGGCCCAAACUCCUACGGGAGGCAGCAGUGGGGAAUAUUGCACAAUGGGGGAAGCCCUGAUGCAGCGACGCCGCGUGAAGGAAGAAGUAUUUCGGUAUGUAAACUUCUAUCAGCAGGGAAGAAAAUGACGGUACCUGACUAAGAAGCCCCGGCUAACUACGUGCCAGCAGCCGCGGUAAUACGUAGGGGGCAAGCGUUAUCCGGAUUUACUGGGUGUAAAGGGAGCGUAGGCGGUUCAGCAAGUCAGAAGUGAAAGCCCGGGGCUCAACUCCGGGACUGCUUUUGAAACUGUUGAACUAGAUUGCAGGAGAGGUAAGUGGAAUUCCUAGUGUAGCGGUGAAAUGCGUAGAUAUUAGGAAGAACACCGGUGGCGAAGGCGACUUUCUGGACUGUAACUGACGUUGAGGCACGAAAGUGUGGGGAGCAAACAGGAUUAGAUACCCUGGUAGUCCACACUGUAAACGAUGGAUACUAGGUGUAGGUGGUAUUAAGCCAUCUGUGCCGUCGCUAACGCAGUAAGUAUCCCACCUGGGGAGUACGACCGCAAGGUUGAAACUCAAAGGAAUUGACGGGGGCCCGCACAAGCAGUGGAGUAUGUGGUUUAAUUCGAAGCAACGCGAAGAACCUUACCAGGGCUUGACAUACAGAUGAAUAACUAAGAGAUUAGUUAGUAUUUCGGUACAUCUGUACAGGUGGUGCAUGGUUGUCGUCAGCUCGUGUCGUGAGAUGUUAGGUUAAGUCCUGCAACGAGCGCAACCCCUAUACUUAGUUGCCAGCACGUAAAGGUGGGAACUCUAAGUAGACUGCCGGUGAUAAAUCGGAGGAAGGUGGGGACGACGUCAAAUCAUCAUGCCCUUUAUGUCCUGGGCUACACACGUACUACAAUGGCUAUAACAAAGAGAAGCGAGACGGAGACGUUAAGCGAAACCCAAAAAAGUAGUCUCAGUUCGGAUUGAAGGCUGAAAUUCGCCUUCAUGAAGCCGGAAGGGCUAGUAAUGGCAGGUCAGCAUACUGCCGU